GGAAAAGAAACUAACUAGGAUUCCCUUAGUAACGGCGAGUGAACCGGGAUGAGCUCAAAUUUAAAAUCUGGCGUCUUUCAGGCGUCCGAGUUGUAAUCUAUAGAGGCGUUUUCCGCGCCGGACCGCGUCCAAGUCUCUUGGAAUAGAGUAUCAAAGAGGGUGACAAUCCCGUACUUGACGCGACAACCGGUGCUCUGUGAUACGUUCUCAAUGAGUCGAGUUGUUUGGGAAUGCAGCUCUAAAUGGGUGGUAAAUUCCAUCUAAGGCUAAAUAUUGGCGAGAGACCGAUAGCGAACAAGUACCGUGAGGGAAAGAUGAAAAGCACUUUGGAAAGAGAGUUAAACAGCACGUGAAAUUGUUAAAAGGGAAACGAUUGAAGUCAGUCGUGUGAAAGGUAUUCAGCCGUCUCUGGCGGUGUAUUUGCCUUUCACGGGUCAACAUCAGUUUGAUCCGGUAGAAAAAGGCGGGAGGAAGGUGGCACCCUCGGGUGUGUUAUAGCCUCCUGUCAUAUGUGCCGGACCAGACUGAGGAACGCAGCUUGCCGCAAGGCCGGGGUUCGCCCACGUACAAGCUUAGGAUGUUGACAUAAUGGCUUUAAACGACCCGU
rnacentral:rRNA from 1 species